rnacentral:misc_RNA from 1 species
GCAAACUUGGUCAUUUAGAGGAAGUAAAAGUCGUAACAAGGUUUCCGUAGGUGAACCUGCGGAAGGAUCAUUAUUGAAACAAAAUCAAGUAGACUGUUGCUGGUUUCCUCUCAGAAGCAUGUGCACGUCUAUUUCAUUUUCAAUCCUCCUGUGCACUAUCGGUGGAUCUUUUCACUGCAAUACAACAAACAAUUAUUUUUGCUUCAAAGAAAUUUAUGUUCUUUGGUCAGAGAGGUCCUGCUGUCUAAUGUAUGCUCAUUACAGCUCUUCUUGUCAAUGUUGUUUUUGUUUUGCUCUGGAAGAUCUCGCCGUUUUACCAUCAACACUGUUGUCUCAGAAUGUUUUGUGAUGUCAAAUAAUGAUAAUAUAACUUUCAACAACGGAUCUCUUGGCUCUCGCAUCGAUGAAGAACGCAGC